AUUGAACGCUGGCGGCAGGCCUAACACAUGCAAGUCGGACGGUAGCACAGAGGAGCCUGCUCCUCGGGUGACGAGUGGCGGACGGGUGAGUAAUGUCUGGGGAUCUGCCCGAUAGAGGGGGAUAACCACUGGAAACGGUGGCUAAUACCGCAUAACGUCGCAAGACCAAAGAGGGGGACCUUCGGGCCUCUCACUAUCGGAUGAACCCAGAUGGGAUUAGCUAGUAGGCGGGGUAAUGGCCCACCUAGGCGACGAUCCCUAGCUGGUCUGAGAGGAUGACCAGCCACACUGGAGCUGAGACACGGUCCAGACUCCGACGGGAGGCAGCAGUGGGGAAUAUUGCAUAAUGGGCGCAAGCCUGAUGCAGCCAUGCCGCGUGUAUGAAGAAGGCCUUCGGGUUGUAAAGUACUUUCAGCGGGGAGGAAGGCGAUAAGGUUAAUACCUAGUGAUAGUGGACGUUACUCGCAGAAUAAGCACCGGCUAACUCUGUGCCAGCCGCCGCCGUAA
rnacentral:rRNA from 1 species